rnacentral:rRNA from 1 species
CCUACGGGGGGCAGCAGUGGGGAAUAUUGGGCAAUGGGCGCAAGCCUGACCCAGCAACGCCGCGUGGAGGAAGAAGGCUUUCGGGUUGUAAACUUCUUUUAUCAGGGACGAAGCAAGUGACGGUACCUGAUGAAUAAGCCACGGCUAACUACGUGCUAGCAGCCGCGGUAGUACGAAGGUGGCAAGCGUGAUUCGGAUUUACUGGGUGUAAGGGGGGUGUAGGCGGGAAAGCAAGUCAGAUGUGAAAACCAUGGGCUCAACCUGUGGGCUGCAUUUGAAACUGUUUUACUUGAGUACUGGAGGGGCAGAUGGAAUUCCUAGUGUAGCGGUGAAAUGCGUAGAUAUUAGGAGGAACACCAGUGGCGAAGGCAGGCUGCUGGGCAGCAACUGACGCUGAGGCGCGAAAGCAUGGGGAGCAAACAGGAUUAGAUACCCGAGUAGUC